UUCCCAGUCCCUGGGCUGAGGUGUUAACACUCUUCAUUGAAUGAAUAUCCGUGAACCUCUUUUUUUGAUGAUCAUCAUGUGGAGAUACGUUAAUUGAAACUGUGAGAUGGCUGUAUCUGUGACAAAGGACACUACAGAACCUGAUCAUGUGAACACAAGUGAAGGACAAGGUGGGGACUUGCCACACAGGAUAAAACUCCUGGGAUGUGUCAUGAGACUGUAUCAGCUCCGACAAUGACUAGGGCACAACCAGAAACGGCUCCUAUAAACACAAUUGAAGGAGACAGUGUUCAAAUGAUUUUUACCUAAGGUAUAGCUCGAAGGAUUCCAGACAACUGAAUUUCCAACAAAGACGGGAAGGUGAGGACUGAUGACACUGAUUUUGUGUCAAACCACUCUCAAUUGCACAGGGCACAAAAUGUGAAGUUGCAGUCAUGAUUCAUUUUGCACUUUUGAAUUUUAACGAAUGUGACAGACUUUCUAACAGGUUAAUCUCCUAGCCAGAAUCAAGAAAGGAAGACACAGCAGCCAUACUGUUCCCACAGAGUUGAGGUCUGGAAGGUGUCACUGAGGCCAGGAGACUACUGUUUGCAGUAUGGGGUCAUCCUCCUCUUGUUAU